CACUCAAGGAGAUUCUGUAUAAGAGCCCAGUAGGGAGCCAUGCAUAGCAUGUGAACCAGGGUUGACUGACGAAAUCGUCUGGACAACUCAAGUCGAGAUGGUGUCGUGGACAUUCCUUCUCAUAGUGGUGGUAUUGGCAGUGUUCGACGGCCAGGUAGAAUCGAGGCAAGAGGCAUCUCAACUCGCCGGUGGGCCUUCGAACGCUCGUUCGCAGAACUCCGUUCCUCGCCUCUUACAAGGACAAGCACUAGGGCUCUCGUGUGAUGGAUCUUGCAUCGGGACGCCACGUGACUGCCUAUUCAAUCCACUGUGUUUUUGUACCAACGGCGCUCUAUUUCCGGUGUGUGCCAGGAGGCACGGUUACUGAUAAUCAGCACCCAAGAAACAGAAAUUAAGCUUGCAAUAAAAAAGGUGCCUCCUUCAAGGAGGUUUUGA